rnacentral:rRNA from 1 species
GACGAAGGUGGCAAGCGUUGUUCGGAAUCACUGGGCUUAAAGCGUGUGUAGGCGGCUCAUCAAGUGCCUUGUGAAAUCCCUCGGCUCAACCGAGGAAUGGCUUGGUAUACUGAUGGGCUUGAGGCAGGUAUGGGUGCGUGGAACUCUUGGUGGAGCGGUGGAAUGCGUAGAUAUCAAGAGGAACGCCGGAGGUGAAGACGACGCACUGGGCCUGUCCUGACGCUGAGACACGAAAGCCAGGGGAG